AGAGUUUGAUCAUGGCUCAGAACGAACGCUGGCGGCAGGCCUAACACAUGCAAGUCGAGCGCGCCCUUCGGGGUGAGCGGCGGACGGGUUAGUAACGCGUGGGAAUAUGCCCAAAGGUACGGAAUAGCCUCUGGAAACGGAGAGUAAUACCGUAUGUGCCCUUCGGGGGAAAGAUUUAUCGCCUUUGGAUUAGCCCGCGUUAGAUUAGGUAGUUGGUGGGGUAAUGGCCUACCAAGCCUACGAUCUAUAGCUGGUUUUAGAGGAUGAUCAGCAACACUGGGACUGAGACACGGCCCAGACUCCUACGGGAGGCAGCAGUGGGGAAUCUUGGACAAUGGGCGCAAGCCUGAUCCAGCCAUGCCGCGUGAGUGAUGAAGGCCUUAGGGUCGUAAAGCUCUUUCGCCAGGGAUGAUAAUGACAGUACCUGGUAAAGAAACCCCGGCUAACUCCGUGCCAGCAGCCGCGGUAAUACGGAGGGGGUUAGCGUUGUUCGGAAUUACUGGGCGUAAAGCGCGCGUAGGCGGAUCGGAAAGUUGGGGGUGAAAUCCCGGGGCUCAACCCCGGAACUGCCUCCAAAACUAUCGGUCUAGAGUUCGAGAGAGGUGAGUGGAAUUCCGAGUGUAGAGGUGAAAUUCGUAGAUAUUCGGAGGAACACCAGUGGCGAAGGCGGCUCACUGGCUCGAUACUGAC
rnacentral:rRNA from 1 species